rnacentral:tRNA from 1 species
GGGGAGAUAGCUCAAUGGAAAAGAACUUGCCUAGCAUGCACGUGGCCUUGGGUUCAAUCCCCAUCACCACA